rnacentral:misc_RNA from 1 species
GAUGAAGAACGUAGCGAAAUGCGAUAAUUAAUGUGAAUUGCAGAAUUCCGUGAAUCAUCGAGUCUUUGAACGCACAUUGCACCUCAUGGCAUUCCGUGAGGCAUGCCCAUCUCAGCGUUAGAAAAUAUUCUCAAAUUUUAGUUUUGUGCUAAAAUUUGGAUCAUGUCAAAGAAGCUAUUACUAUUAUUGUGAUCGCUCUUUGGAAAUUGAUAGGUCUUUGAGUUGCUACUCAUAGAACGUGAUGAAUCUUUCUUCGUUCUAUUGUAAUUCACUCUGGUAGUCCUAAAACUUGUAUGCCUGUGGCAUAUCUUGUAAUUUGACCUGAGAUUGGGUAGGGAUACCCGCUGAACUUAAGCAUAUCAAUAAGCGGAGGA